GCCUUUUCUGGGGCCACUCCUGUGGCAUAUGGAGGUUCCCAGGCUAGAGGUUGAAUCGGAGCUGUAGCCGCUGGCCUACACCAGAGCCACAGCAACACGGAAUCGGAGCCGCGUCUGCGACCUAUACCACAGCGCACGGCAACGCCGGAUCCUUAACCCACUGAGCGAGGGCAGGGAUCGAACCUGCAACCUAUGGUUCCUAGUCGGAUUCAUUAACCACUGCACCACGAUGGGAACUCCACAACCACUGAUCUUAUAGAUAAAUAUUUAGUCAAUUGUCUCAAGUUGUCUAGUCAUCGUUGUUUGUAUUGGCGGCUCAGUCACACAUUUGGUAAUACAAGAAACAAUAAUGUAAAAUAGGCAGAAUACAAGCGAUAUAGCUAGUAACAUUAAUAAGGUCAUAAGUAUUUAAGCUAAGAACUUCUGCUAGGUGCAGCCCAGUAUUUCCCCAGGUUGUCUGACCCAGUCUGUUCCACACAAAUUACUAUCUUUAUAGGAAAUAAUAUAUAGGCAUUGUAAUAAAGUUAUUCAUGUACAAAAGCAAGUGGUAGGUCAUUAUGACCCCUUAUAGGAUUGAGAAAGGAAUGGUAUCUUCUACAGAAGACAUCAAUGGUUUAUUGUAAGACUUCCUCCCCAUGUCAGAGGAAAAGGUCCCGGAGAGACACCCUACCAUAUACUGCCGAUAGCAGGCAGGACAUGGCAGCAAUCUUUGCUACUUGGAGGAGAAGGAGGCUAUCAUUUAUUGGCUCAUUAGUUACUAGGGGAACCAACGGCUGCAGCAAGGGGCCAGUGUGUAGGCAGUUACUAAUUAAACCUUGUAAUUAAAGAGGAUUGGAUAGUCAUGUGAGUGAAGCAGGGCCUCGUAGAGCAGGGGAUGUACAAGGAACAAGAGAACAGCCAACUGAAUGGCCUUGCCAUACACUCCACCCCAUACUGACCCUGCAUGACUCUUAUAACCUUGGCUGGCCCCUCUUCGACAAUACCGUGGGUCGGGUAUAUAGAGGUGCACUGCCACCAAAUACCACAAAUGCAAUACAAAGACCAGCAGCUACAGAGUAUUAAGGGUAAGCCAGGUGCUUAUCCAGUCGCUUAUUUCAUGGGAGUCCAGAAGAACACAACCAUGGAAUCCCUGUAUAGAUUCUACAGUCAGACUCAUUUCCCAGUGACGCCACCAUCGACACCCAGGCCAUGAACAGACUACAGACCACAUGUAAGGUGUUUAUCAGGUGCAAUACAGGAAAAUUAUGACCAUUAAGCAAAAUACAAGCAGUAACAGCAUUGUGAGAUAAUACCCGCCCCAUCUGUGGUUUUGUGCUGGCCCAUAGUACCACCUCACUUGGCCACUCCCAGUCCCCACAGCCAGUGCCAGACACUGGAGUGGCAGUGUAACAACAGAACACAGGGUUAAUAUAAUGGUGCCUUUCUCCAAUAGGAGCCUGAUUAAUUACCUUAGUAGUUUAGCUGGGGCAGGUAGAAGACAGGCGAGGCCUCUAAGUCCCCUUCAUUCUUUCUCUCUCUCUUUUUUUCUUUUUAGGGCCACACCCAUGGCAUGUGGAAGUUUUCAAGAACAGGGCUGAAUCAGAGCUGCAGCUGCUGCCCUAUGCCACAGGCACAGCAAUACCAGAUCCUUAACCCACUGAGCUAAGGCAGGGAUUGUACCCACAUCCUCACAGAGACAACAUUGGGUCCUUAACCCACUGAGCCACAACAGGAACAACUCUUAGUCCCUUUCUAAUCCUAUUCCUCAUGAGGUAGCAAACCCCAAACCGCCUGGCACUUACCUGUCAGUCCCAGGGCCAUUUUACAGUGUGCUCUCCUGAGGGUAGAUCCUGCAGUAAGGCCCAAAGUGAGUUAUUGUCCUUUCUGAGAGUUAGCAACAGUCCUUCGGUGGUCAACAGCUGAACUUGGCAUUGACUAGUUGCCUCUAGGUUAACAUGAUUGAGACUGGGAUGAUUGCUCCUGGGAUGUUUGGUUGUAGUUGAUAGAGCUUGAGUUAGACUCUGGUUCACACGUCGAGUGAACAGGGGCUGUCCCAUCUCAUAAUUGUCUAAGUAGUCCAUUCAUCCUCUCCAUGAGCCUGGCAGCAGUGCGAUUGUAGAACCAGUGAAAAUACCAGUGUGUGGCACUUUUACUGGCCCAUUCCUGAACUUCAGGGACGGUAAAGCGGGUUCCUUGGUUGCUAUCAAUGUCCACCAUGAGUGGGUGGGGUCCCUUAUGCCGCUCAUGUUUUUUGUGUGGCUCAAUGACUCAGGUGGGCCUUUGGUAAUGUCUUCCACCUGUUGUAACACACUGCAGACAGCAUGUAGCUGUUGUCCAUCAUGCUGCAUUGGGGCUCUGCCCGCUUCCAGAGCUGGCACCAGAAGCCCAAGGGUACUCAUUACUUUGCUGUUGCCACAGGUGUCAACCCAACCCUUCCUGGUAGCUGGCCACAUCCAAUUCACAAGCUUGACCCCAGGUUAAUAUUCCUAAUGCCUGUGUCUGUAAUUGUUUAAGGGGGGUGAGUUGGAGGUAUACUUGCCUUGCCCAAGCCAAUAACACCUAAGUAUUUGAUAGAUAAUCCAGGUCCUUGCAUUUUGUCUGUAUUGACCAGCCAUCCCUGUGCAGUCAGAUGAGCCACAAACAUCAUCAAUACAAUGAACAAGAAAAGACUUCUCUCAUUAUAUUCAGCUGCUACAGGGCCCCAUUCAGCCGCUGGUGGAUGGUCGGGCAUAGGCCACCAACUUUGUUUCCCCUUCUUAUUUUCUGACAUCCUGGCACUCAUGGGAGCUUUCUUGGCCUCCUAGCUGGCUUGCCAACUGUUGGGCGGCACCCUGCAGGCCUGCCAGUCUUGUAGUUGUCCUGCGUCAAGACCAAAGAAAGAUCCUAGAGUCAGCGAUGGAGACCUCAAUGGUUUAAUGGACAGGGGAUCUUACUUGUCAGAGGCAAAGGUCCUGGAGAGACAUAGUGCUAUGUACGACACAGAACAGAACACAGCCGCAACCCCCCCUACUCUGAAGAGGAGGCUACCAUUUAUAGGGGGAAGGGAACUCAGGUUGGCUCAUCAGUUACCAGGGAAACCAACAGCUAGGGCAGAGAGCAAGCACGUAGGCAGUUACUAAUUAAGCGCUAUGAUUAAAAGGAUCAGAAGCAGGGCCUGGUCAAGCAGGAGCUGUGCAGAGAGCAAGAGAAGGGCCAACUUGAGUGGCCUGACCAUACAACAGGGCACAUUACAGGGGAGGGAGGAGGCCCAAACAGGCAAAGAAAAAAAUGUUAUGUUUAAAUUUUUCUUAUCUGGGCUUAAAAUAAGAAUUGUCUUUCAUCAUGAGUAAAGGAAUGGUUGAUAAAUGCUUUAUAGGCCAACUUCCAGAUUAGUAUUAAGAUGACUAGUAUUGCCCCCACACAGUAGCCAUACAAACUGAGUUAAACCCUCAGUCUAACACUUUCAUAAGACUUACAAGUGGGAAGGGGUUACUAAUCUUUGUAUCACAGUAAAUUUUGUUAAGUUGAAUUCUGAGUUUUGUGCAGUUGAAACAACACUUCAUCUUACAUGGUUCACUCUGGCAGAAAAUACCCUUUGAUUUACUGAUAGGAAACUAAAAUUAAUUUUGGAGAGAAGAACUUUUUUUAAAACCAUGUAAAAAUCUGCCAAGCAGGGUAGGAUUAGUGGGGAACUUUUCAAGUAUAUCAAUAAUAAUAAAUACUCUUUGUUUUUCAGAGUUUCAAGUCUCAUAACCACAGAGAUUGAAACUCAAAUUGUUCUACAAAUUAAUUUCAGUUCUAUAUACAUAUACUUGUAGAUUCUGAAUUAAAUUGAAUUUGCCAGCACUCAUUCUAUUUUGAGGAUUCUUUUGCCAUGCUCCUAGUAUGGUAAAAUAAACCAAAUGCUGAGCUCAGAAGUUAUUUUAACUGCAAACACAGCUUAAACCUUUAAUUAGUUUAAACAUGUUUGGUUAAGUCACUAUGAUCAGUAAUUUGAAGACUGAAGUCUACCUAGCCAGCUAAUCUUAGCCUAAAAUUCUGAAACACCUAAAUUGCAGAACUGCAAUUUUACUUCAGAAGACUGAAGCACAUAUAAGAUUUAGAAAGCUCUGAGCUGUUCAGAAACUUCCAGAGUUUAGUAAAGUUCUAUGUGUCUACAAAGUCUAUUACACAUCUCAUCUCAAAUAACUUUGAGUCUUAUAGUAAAAAAAUAAUCCAAUUACUGUCAAAACAUCAUUAAGAGGACUUUUAUAGACUGGAUUCUUAACACACACUAAAAUUGAUGACAAAAUGGGGCAUUAUUUCACAUUUGAAAUCAGUAAUUAAGAAUAAUUUUUCCAGCCCCAAACCAUUAAUCACAGAAAUACAUCUCACUUAUGCCCCCAUUAACAUUUUAUAGAGCUAAAAAAGACAAUAAUGGGUAAUUCCUGGGUUUCAGCACCCGAAAAACCCAAUCAUGCCAAUAAACAUAACAAAAACCACAAAAAAGAUAAUAACACUCCAGUGUAUGGGGAAGAAUGCAGAAAGAAGCCCUCUCUACACUUUGUUCAAAGUUCCUUUAAAAAAAUGAGGAAAUGCCAAAAAACACA
rnacentral:lncRNA from 1 species